UGGAUUAUCUAAUUUAAACAAAAGCAAUAAUCUCUGUAAAUGUCCUAGAAAAAUACAAUAGCUUUCUGUUUACUGCUUACAAGUAAAAUGGUGAACUGUUUCACUACUGACAUUU
rnacentral:snoRNA from 1 species